rnacentral:rRNA from 1 species
AUGAACGCUGGCGGCGUGCCUAAUACAUGCAAGUCGCGCGAACAGAUAAGGAGCUUGCUCCUUUGACGUUAGCGGCGGACGGGUGAGUAACACGUGGGUAACCUACCUAUAAGACUGGGAUAACUUCGGGAAACCGGAGCUAAUACCGGAUAACAUUUGGAACCGCAUGGUUCUAAAGUGAAAGAUGGUUUUGCUAUCACUUAUAGAUGGACCCGCGCCGUAUUAGCUAGUUGGUAAGGUAACGGCUUACCAAGGCAACGAUACGUAGCCGACCUGAGAGGGUGAUCGGCCACACUGGAACUGAGACACGGUCCAGACUCCUACGGGAGGCAGCAGUAGGGAAUCUUCCGCAAUGGGCGAAAGCCUGACGGAGCAACGCCGCGUGAGUGAUGAAGGGUUUCGGCUCGUAAAACUCUGUUAUUAGGGAAGAACAAAUGUGUAAGUAACUGUGCACGUCUUGACGGUACCUAAUCAGAAAGCCACGGCUAACUACGU